GACAGAGGGCGCAAACGUUGUUCGGAAUUACUGGGCGUAAAGGGCUCGUAGGCGGCCAACUAAGUCAGACGUGAAAUCCCUCGGCUUAACCGGGGAACUGCAUCUGAUACUGGAUGGCUUGAGAUUGGGAGAGGGAUGCGGAAUUCCAGGUGUAGCGGUGAAAUGCGUAGAUAUCUGGAGGAACACCGGUGGCGAAGGCGGCAUCCUGGACCAACACUGACGCUGAGGAGCGAAAGCCAGGGGAGCAAACAGG
rnacentral:rRNA from 1 species